rnacentral:rRNA from 1 species
UACGUAGGGGGCUAGCGUUGUCCGGAAUCAUUGGGCGUAAAGAGCGCGUAGGCGGCCAGAUAAGUCCGGUGUGAAAGUCAAAGGCUCAACCUUUGAAUGCCGCUGGAAACUGUCUGGCUAGAGUCCGGGAGGGGCGAGUGGAAUUCCUGGUGUAGCGGUGAAAUGCGCAGAUAUCAGGAGGAAUACCAAUGGCGAAGGCAGCUCGCUGGAACGGUACUGACGCUGAGGCGCGAAAGCGUGGGGAGCGAACAGG